CAAGGGCGUAGGAACCGGGGGGGACGGGUGGGACGUGUCCCCUCCAAUAUUGGACAAACGCGCAUUUGUCCCCCCCAAUAACAUGGAGAAGAAAAAGAUUGAUUUUGAAAUAUUUGACUCGCGAGCUUUUAUUUUGAAAGACACCGCGGACUUCUCUCCGACACAGCCCCUCCCCUCAGGGAGCAGGCUGGCUGAGUGAAGCAGGAGUCAGAGCCGGGGCAGACGCAGGUGUCGGAAAGACGGCAGCAGCUCAGUGAGUUCCUCUCAUGGGCAAAAGAAGAAAGAAAGGAAUUGUGAGUCGGUAAUAAUUUAGUCCAAGAGUAAUAUUGUAUUUUUGGUCAAACGCUAAAAUGGCUGACUAACGUAAACAUCUUGCUAGUUAGCAUUAAACAUUAAACAACACUACUAGUCAACAAAAAAUGGCGAAUUUUACAGUAGCAGAAAAAAAAAGUUUGGCACGAAAUAAAUUAAAAAGUAGAAUCUCCACAUAAAAAUGGAGUUUGUAAGUGUGAUUUUUGCUUGUUUGUCACAUUCUCAUCACAUUCAUUUUUAAACCUUAUUCAUGUCAUGUCACUUUAUUCAUAUAAGAGACCAGAGGAAGUUCAGCAGGAAUAUGAUGAAGAAGGUGAGACAGGCAGCGCCCGACCUGCUGAGGGUGAGACAGGGAGCACCAGACCUGCUGAGGGUGAGACAGGGAGCACCAGACCUGCUUUGGACCUGUUGAGGUGCAGAUAUUUUAAAAGCAAGCGAUCCUGAUUUACAUGACGGUCCCGAGAAGAGGACGUCUCGACUUGAUCAAAGAUGAAAGACGAUUGAUCGUCUGAGGUCGAAGGGAACAGAAGGAAUUGGGUCAGUAGAGUCCCUGUUCUAAAAAAUAAACAUCUUCAUUUGAUUAAACUUGGAAUUUUACCGUAGAAAAUGGCUGCUUUACAGUUUUGUUAAUAUUUGAAUCUACUGGAAUGUGAAACGUACAGUUGGUAUCACAGUCAUGACUCUAAAAGUUGACUGUCGGUGCACGAACUCUCGAAUCAUGAAGUGCAGACGAGUGAAAGCUCAAAUCCAUAUUUUCCCACUAACUAGCCUUUAGGGAUUUAAGAUGGUUUGGCAUCUUUACCUAGCCUGGAGAGGACUCGGAGGUGUUUUCAGAAUUCCAACUUGAAUAUUUAUCCCAAGCUGGGUUCUUUUGGAAAAGCCUUCCAUUCACGUGCAAAACGCUGCAGGGCCUAAAAGUCGUGCAGCAGAUUUAGAGAAGCUGCUUAUGAUGAUGGGCACUUUUUAACGUAACAGUCAACAUACAGAAUUAGUGUUUAAAAAUAUUUAUCCUGUUCCACUAUUAAAUAACCCUUUUUCAUUAGUUUUUUCUUUCUAACCUUAUCUGUGUUUAAUCGAGUAAAGCUCUGAACUUUGACCUGAUAAACCCUAAAGACUAAGUUCACUCGUUUUUUUCAAUUCAAUAGCA
rnacentral:lncRNA from 1 species